UCCCUAGUACGGCGAGUGAAGCGGGAAGAGCUCAAAUUUGAAAUCUGGUGGCCUCAGGUCAUCCGAGUUGUAAUCUAUAGAAGUGUUUUCCGUGCUGGCUCAUGUACAAGUCCCUUGGAACAGGGCGUCAUAGAGGGUGAGAAUCCCGUCCUUGACAUGAACUACCAGUGCUCUGUGAUACAUUUUCAACGAGUCGAGUUGUUUGGGAAUGCAGCUCAAAAUGGGUGGUAAAUUCCAUCUAAAGCUAAAUAUUGGCGAGAGACCGAUAGCGAACAAGUACCGUGAGGGAAAGAUGAAAAGCACUUUGGAAAGAGAGUUAAACAGUAUGUGAAAUUGUUAAAAGGGAAACGAUUGAAGUCAGUCGUGCUCUUUGGAUUCAGCCGGUUCUGCCGGUGUACUUCCUUUGAGUGGGGUCAACAUCAGUUUUGAUCGCUGGAUAAAGGCUGGAGGAACGUAGCACCCCCGGGUGAACUUAUAGCCUCCUGUCACAUACAGUGGUUGGGACUGAGGAACGCAGCACGCCUUUAUGGCCAGGAUCCGUCCAUGUACGUGCUUAGGAUGUUGACAUAAUGGCUUUAAACGACCCGUCUUGAAACACGGAACCAC
rnacentral:rRNA from 1 species